GUUCUCUCUUUGUUUCCAGGGUGUUUGUUUUCCUUCUUUUAAGAAUUCUAGUGCGGAAAACCAGAAGAAUAAACAAAGCUUUUCUGAGGAAUCCAUAAAUAAUUUACCAAGAUAACCACAGUAUAUAAGAAAAGAAGGAAAGUCAAAGCAAAACUGAGACAAAGAUCUUCAAAGGAAGAAGGCAAAUGAGAA
rnacentral:lncRNA from 12 species